rnacentral:rRNA from 1 species
CGAUGAACCUCCUUCGGGAGGGGAUUAGUGGCGAACGGGUGAGUAACACGUGGGCAAUCUGCCCUUCACUCUGGGACAAGCCCUGGAAACGGGGUCUAAUACCGGAUACGACCACCGACCGCAUGGUCUGGUGGUGGAAAGCUCCGGCGGUGAAGGAUGAGCCCGCGGCCUAUCAGCUUGUUGGUGGGGUGAUGGCCUACCAAGGCGACGACGGGUAGCCGGCCUGAGAGGGCGACCGGCCACACUGGGACUGAGACACGGCCCAGACUCCUACGGGAGGCAGCAGUGGGGAAUAUUGCACAAUGGGCGAAAGCCUGAUGCAGCGACGCCGCGUGAGGGAUGACGGCCUUCGGGUUGUAAACCUCUUUCAGCAGGGAAGAAGCGAAAGUGACGGUACCUGCAGAAGAAGCGCCGGCUAACUACGUGCCAGCAGCCGCGGUAAUACGUAGGGCGCAAGCGUUGUCCGGAAUUAUUGGGCGUAAAGAGCUCGUAGGCGGCUUGUCACGUCGGAUGUGAAAGCCCGGGGCUUAACCCCGGGUCUGCAUUCGAUACGGGCAGGCUAGAGUUCGGUAGGGGAGAUCGGAAUUCCUGGUGUAGCGGUGAAAUGCGCAGAUAUCAGGAGGAACACCGGUGGCGAAGGCGGAUCUCUGGGCCGAUACUGACGCUGAGGAGCGAAAGCGUGGGGAGCGAACAGGAUUAGAUACCCUGGUAGUCCACGCCGUAAACGUUGGGAACUAGGUGUGGGCGACAUUCCACGUCGUCCGUGCCGCAGCUAACGCAUUAAGUU